AAACUGAUCCACCCACAGAAUUCUGCCCAGUUUCCUUGGAUCCACCAGCCGCAAUAAGCCUCGUGGUUCACACCAACAUUCCACCUGGAAUCCAACAGACAUCAGUAAUCAUGGACCCGUUCUUGGAGCAGAGAAUCGAGUAAAUUUCUCAAGUACAAGUUCACACUCAGUAUGUUUCUGCCAGUAUCAGCGUGGUUCAUUAGCUCUCAUGAAUUUCUUUCGACCCUGGUAUACUCUAGAGAUGUCUCCAUGACUAUAUUCUUCACUGUAGCAGAACAACUCUCAUCAAUGUGUUCGCACAUCUCCUCAAUCCAUGCAGCCAGCUUUUCUUCCAACUUCUCUUCUUGUCUCCCAUAAAGUCGACGUCAACAAGAAUGGGCAAGUCUGAACGUACCUCGGAGCCUCAGCAUUAAUCUGAUGACAGGUAGUUCUUCCACUGUAUGCCCUUUCAGAUUCUGGAAACUGACCCGUGAACUCAGGUCUUUGGGCAGCAACAGUAUCUCCAACUUACACAGCUUCCCGAACCAAAGAAUUAAGCCAAUCUCCACAUAGGGCGGCAGCCCCUCCAUCACACAGAUCCACCAACAGAAUUCUGCCCAGUUACAUUGGAUCCACCAGCCGCAACAAGCCUCAUGGUACACACCAACAUUCUACCUGGAAUCCAACCGGUUUUCUGAGGCCUCAUCCUGUCUUUGGAAUAACAGACCACUCUUCGUCAAGUGUCCUGUGCCAAGGGCUGGGUGAGUGGAUGUUUACAAUGCUGUGUGUAUGGGAGCGAGUGAGAGCAGUUUGCACUGGUUCUCUGCCUACUGGGCAUCGGUAAAUCAACACUUUCCACAUAUAAUUCACAGAAAUUGGAUGUUUGUUUUGCUCCGUUUUCUAUACAGCCAUGGUCCGAGGUUUUGUCCGAAGACUCCUGCUUUGAGGCUAGGGGAGGCUGGGUCACACUUUUCCCUCCUUUCCCAGCUCAGCUGGAAGCCUGAAAGAUGCCCAGGUCAGCCUGUGGCCCAUUUUCAGCCCUGCUCCACCCUGGCCUGUCCAAAUGCCAUAUGGCCCUGUCAUACAUCUGGCUGGCAAGCGUUCCUUGGGGUAGAGCAUCUAUCCCCGCUUCUCCGCGUUUGCCCCCUGCCUGGUGCCCCUCUAUAUCUGCCCUCCCGCUCUCCCGGCCUCUCAGCGCCAUCUCCCCUCCUCCUCCCCAUAGUGUCUCAGCGUUUUCCUUCCUUUGGUGAGAUGGGGCCAUUUCUCUCAAGGGUCGUUUUAAAUAUUCAGAUUUUUAAAUUUUUAUUUUAUGGAAUUAUAGUCAGUUUACAAUUUUGUGUCAAUUUCUGGUGUACAGCUCAAUGCUUCAGUCAUACAAUAACAUUCGUAUAUUCAUUUUCAUGUCCUUUCUCACCAUGAGCUACUACAAGAUUUUGACUAUGGUUCCCUGUGCUGUGUGGUAUAAACUUGUUGCUUUAUUUUAUAUUUACCACUCACUGUCUGCAAAUCUUGAACUCCCAGUCUAUCCUUUCCCACCCUGUUCCCCUCUGAUAACCAUGAGUUUGUUUUCUAAGCCUGUUUAAUUUUAGAUUCCACAUGAGUGUUGUCAUAUGGUGUUUUUCUUUCUUUCUGGCUUACUUCACUUAGAAUGAUGUUUUCCAGGGCCAUCCAUGUUGCUCCAAAUGGCAUGAUAUUAUUUUUUAUGGCUGAGUAGUAUUCCAUUGUAUACAUGACACGGCUUCUGUAUCCAGUCAUCUGUUGCUGGACAUUUAAGCUGUCUCCAUGUCUUGGCUAUUGUAAAUAGUGCUAUGAACAUUA